rnacentral:rRNA from 1 species
UACGGAGGGUGCGAGCGUUGUCCGGAAUCACUGGGCGUAAAGGGCGCGUAGGCGGCCUGAUAAGUAGGGGGUGAAAUCCUGCGGCUUAACCGCAGGGCUGCCUUCUAAACUGUCAGGCUAGAGCACAGUAGAGGCAGGUGGAAUUCCCGGUGUAGCGGUGGAAUGCGUAGAGAUCGGGAGGAACACCGGUGGCGAAGGCGGUUCUCUGGGCCUGUUCUGACGCUGAGGAGCGAAAGCGUGGGGAGCAAACAGG